GACUGGUGGAGGGGAUCUAAAGGCCGGGGGGCCCUGCUGGCCCCCCGGUUAUCCAGGAUAGGCACACAAUGAUUACUCAAAUGUCACUUGUGGGUGGUGGUGUAUGCUGUGCUCUCUUCCCAGGAAGUAAAGAGUGUUUCCCAGGUGCUGAAGAUUUGGUUAUACAAUUCCUACUGCUUGUUGUUGUUAUUUAUUGUUGCAGGACAAAGAAGGUUAAGUGGAAUCUGUGCAGGAAAAUGACCUGCUGUUUUUAGUGACUGGAAUGUUGAGACUGGCCAGAAAGGGAAGCUACCUCUAAACAUUUCCAUUUCUUUGCAACAGAAGAGAGGAGUUCGUUCUGCCAUGUCCCUUUUCUGGAACAGGGCAUUGAGAAAAACAUGUCAGGGCUCCAGAGUCUCUGGCUCUGGCUACAGCAGCUGUAGAGAAAGCAGGACAAGAAAGCACCAGGAAUUAAAGGUUGGAGGCUGCAGGACCAAGUCUCUCUCUGGGUGUCUCUGAAAUGUGUGGAGUCUCUAAACGAAGCAGUGGCAGAAACAAUGAAAACAACCAGAGAACAGCUUGCUUGCUUCUGGUCACAGGGCUGCUUAAGCCAACACAGCUGAAACCAUGGAAUCAUUUUGGUUGGAAAAGACCUUUAGGAUCAUCAAGUCCAACCAAGUCUGGUGCCAAACUAACGUCACUCAGCACCACCUCUCUGCCUCUUUUAAGCACCUGCAGAAUGAGGGUUUAACCACCACCCUGGGGAGUUUAUUCCAGUCUUUGAGAAUCUUUUUUUAGUGAAGUUUCUUUUAAUAACCCAAAUUGCUCCUGGUGCAACUUGAACCCAAGUUGCUCUUGUCCUGUCACUUAUUACUAGGAAGAAGAGACCAACAUCCCUUCAAGGAGUUGUAGAGAGCAAGGUCUCCCAAGUUCCUUCAACUGCAGCUGGCCAGCCCUGUUCUCCAGAGCCUUGGCCAGCUUUGCUGCCCUUCUCUGGACAUGCCCAGCACCUCAGUGCCUUUCUUGUAGCGAAGACUGCAAACCUGAAUGCAGUACUGAAGGUGUGGCCUACCAACUAAGAGUACAGAAGGAAAAUAUCCCCUCCCUGGUCCUGCUUGUCACACUAUUGCUGCUACAAGCCAGGAUACACACUGCUGGCUCACAAUAGCUACCCUUUAAGCAGUUCUGGGUGCUCCAGAAGAGAGGACAGCACAAAGGCAUGUGUGGGAUUUCAACAUCCCUGAUUCACACUUGCUACUUUGGUCUGUGGGUAAUUCUGCUCAAAAGGUACAGCCAAGGUGUCUGCAAAUGAGCCCAGCAUCUCUCCUCUGCAGCAGUUACUGAGAAGCAGUGCAGCUGUCUGCUAGCAGUGGGCAGAUGUUACAUGCAAUGCCUCUUUGGUGAUGGGCCUAAGUUUCAGUGGAGAGCUCUGGUGUCUAGUUCUUGUUUGGCAAGUGUGUGGCAGUAACCAGCUGCUAGGAGCAGUCACAGUACAGCACUGGUGCAGGCAGACAUGCAGAAUUACUACUUAUACAAAUGGAAUUGAUUUUAAUGCCUUUUUCUUCCCCCAGUUGCUUCUUCAAUCCUCCAGAUGUAGGUUUUAAUGGAAGUGGGAUACUUUUACACAAUAGCAGUACAAAAUUCAAUGAAAGCAGGGGAGGAAAGGGAACCUUUCCUUUAUUCAAUUAGCACUUGCAUUCUAUGGAUGUCUGGAAUGUUAGUUUUGCCAACAUGAUGAGGUGAGCACUCACUGCCAUGAAGAGCAGAGCCUCCUGCUUUGAGCUGGCACAGAAUGAGCUCUGUUCAGCAAUUCAUAGAUUCUUAGAAUGCUUUGGGUUGGAAGGAGCCUUAAAGAUUGUUGUGCAGGUUUGAGACUAAUUGAAAUAUUUUCCUGAGAGAAAUGAAAUCCUUAGCUGUGAGAAGAAAGGGGAAAAAAAACCAUGUGCCCUAUAGUGCCCAUUCUUCUGCUGGGAAACACAAGGAGUCAAACCAGAGAUAGGACACUCGCUGCUCACACGGCUCAGCUCUCGCUUCUGCCUGUGCCUUCUUUCUGGCACUCUGCUCUCUCUGGCUGCCUCUGCCCUAGCUCUCUAAUCCACCUGACCCUUUGUCCUCUAACCUCCUUCUUGUCUUUUUGGCAUCUCAGCUCUCCCGAUUUAUCAUGUGAGCUAUGUGUGGGUUGAUCUGGUUAUUUCUGGAGGGAGGGGGAAGGAGGAAUUGGGCCAGGAGCCCUCCUGGGGACCCUGAUUGUUUCUGGGAGGGGAAUUGUGUUUCUGUAUUGCUUUUAAACUUGUAUAUAGCUGUAUUUAUCUAUGUAUAUCUGCUUGUACACUGUGCUAAGCUGAAAAUAUAGCUUCAUUCUUUAACUUCCA